AUGCUCGAAGGCGCGGGUAUCAAACAGGAUUAGAUACCCUGGUAGUCCGCGCGGUAAACGAUGAGUGCUCGGGAUUUGGGCAUUAGCCUGAGUCCCCCAGCGAAAGCGUUAAGCACUCCACCUGGGGAGUACGCCGGCAAACGGUGAAACUCAAAGGAAUUGACGGGGGCCCGCACAAGCGGAGGAACAUGUGGUUUAAUUCGAUGAUACGCGAGGAACCUUACCCGGGCUUGAAAUGUGCAUGACGACCCCGAGAGACCGGGGUCUCCUUCGGGCAUGCAUGUAGGUGCUGCAUGGUUGUCGUCAGCUCGUGCCGUGAGGUGUCGGCUCAAGUGCCAUAACGAGCGCAACCCCUUCCGCCGGUUACCAUCGGGUUAUGCCGGGGACUCCGGCGGCACUGCCGCCGCAAGGCGUGAGGAAGGCGGGGAUGACGUCAAAUCAGCACGGCCCUCACGUCCGGGGCCACACACGUGUUACAAUGGGGGGCACAGCGAGCGGGAUGAUGGCGACAUCAUUCGAAUCAACAAAUCCCCUCCCAGUUCGGACUGGAGUCUGCAACCCGACUCCACGAAGCCGGAUUCGCUAGUAAAUCGCGCAUCA
rnacentral:rRNA from 1 species